GAUCCUGGCUCAGGAUGAACGCUAGCUACAGGCUUAACACAUGCAAGUCGAGGGGCAGCAUUGGGAUAGCUUGCUAUUCCAGAUGGCGACCGGCGCACGGGUGAGUAACGCGUAUCCAACCUUCCCCAUAGUAGGGCACAGCCCGGCGAAAGUCGGAUUAAUUCCCUAUGUUGUCCAGAGAGGACAUCUGACCUGGACGAAAGAUUCAUCGCUAUGGGAUGGGGGAUGCGUCUGAUUAGGUUGCAGGCGGGGUAACGGCCCACCUGGCCGACGAUCAGUAGGGUUCUGAGAGGAAGGUCCCCCACAUUGGAACUGAGACACGGUCCAAACUCCUACGGGAGGCAGCAGUGAGGAAUAUUGGUCAAUGGACGGAAGUCUGAACCAGCCAAGUAGCGUGCAGGAAGACGGCCCUAUGGGUUGUAAACUGCUUUUAUCAGGGGAUAAAGUGAGGUAUGUAUACCUUUUUGCAUGUACCUGAUGAAUAAGGACCGGCUAAUUCCGUGCCAGCCGCUGC
rnacentral:rRNA from 1 species